AGUCACUUGGAGUCUGCUGGCUGUGCUGUGAAGAGGAAGGGGCCAGGAGGUUGUGUGAGGGGCAGAAAGAGUCAGUCAUCGUACAAGGGAUAGGCGAUUGUGUGAGGAACAGGAAGCAGUGAGCUGAAACUGCAGAAGAAAAAAGAGCCAGAGCUGUGUGGGGUUGUUCAUAUGAUUGCAACUUAACAAAGCUGCAAUUUCUGUUCCUGUGAGGUUUUCAAACAGACAAAGUGUGAGACCCUCAUGAAGAAGCCAUCUAUAGCUAUCAUCAUCCCCAUUCCUCAGGUCACCUGCCACAGACAUGCCUUCUCCUUGCAUCUGCAGCUCCAGUUGCACGUGGCUCACACUGAAGAUGUACCUUGUCGUGGGGGCACCCAGCUGAGAUACUUCACUGAGCCCUUCCCAAAGUGAGCACAGAUCAUGCCAGCUAUCUCCGCCUUCCUUCACUUGUUUCUGUAGUCAUGUGACACUGUGUUACAUGUUCCUGUCUGCUCUGCUGCUGUGCUGUGUGCUUUGAGAAAAAGCAGUGGCUGUGUAAAUACUCAGAAGGGCUGAAGAGCAGCCAAAUGGACCUGCUACAGCAAGCAAACAAGGGGGAAAGAUAAUCUCUACAAAGUCUUCUGGCUGCCAUUAUUCUGGGUGGGGCUUAUAAUGGUGUCCAUUGUUUAUUUUUAUUUCCUUAUUUUCUUGCUUCUUUUAUUAUUUAUUUUCUCAUCUCCUCCCGUGUACCCUCCUUAUACACACAACCUGGUGGCUCACUGCUGUUGUAGCAAAAUUCUGUUUAUUUCAGGAGCUGUAGGGAAAGAGGAGAUACGCUUUUUGGGGACAGGCAGAGCAACAGUUCCCUUUGGUGAGCUGACUGCCUUGGAGAUCCUGGCCUCAGUGGUCCACUGCAGUAAGGAUUUUACAAAAAGGAAAAACUCAGGCAAAUUAUCCAUACCUGUGUGGCUGAGAGGAAACUCAGGAAGAGGUUAUGCCAUUAGUCUCCAAUACUUAGUCACAAAAGGUCUAAAAUUACAGUGGACAAGUCUAAAAAUGAUGGGAAAAGUUAAUGUGUUUUAAUGUUCUGUGUGAUGAAUGCAUAUUAAAUGACUGUUAGACAA